UACGUAGGGUGCAAGCGUUUAUCCGGAAUUAUUGGGCGUAAAGAGCUCGUAGGUGGUUUGUCACGUUCUGCUGUGAAAACUGGAGGCUCAACCUCCAGCCUGCAGUGGGUACGGGCAGACUAGAGUGCGGUAGGGGAGAUUGGAAUUCCUGGUGUAGCGGUGGAAUGCGCAGAUAUCAGGAGGAACACCGAUGGCGAAGGCAGAUCUCUGGGCCGUAACUGACGCUGAGGAGCGAAAGCAUGGGGAGCGAACAGG
rnacentral:rRNA from 1 species